rnacentral:lncRNA from 1 species
UAAAAAUUACAAUAAAAAGGGACUAAAUUGACUAACCAAAUAAACUUUAAAAUUUUGGAGCCCUAACAUUGCGCGACUUCUUCUUUUCUUCUUUCUCUUUUUCUUUCUUUUUCUUUCUAAUUUUGUUUGGUUUUCUAUUCCUUUUUAUUUUACUUAUUUUUUAUUAUAUAAUAUAUGUAAAACCCAAAUUCUGCCCAGACCCAUGCAAAUUAAAUAAACAAAAAAAUAAAAAAAUAAAAACCAAAUAAAAAACAAACAUGAACAGUCCAGUUACAACAUUAGCCCAAAAAUCUAAAACCCAAUAAGCAGAAACCCAAACCCCUUUACAGCCCUAAACCCAUGAAAAAAAAGAAAGCAAACCCUAACAGCCUAAGCUAGCUGCCACACGCUCCAACGGCAGCCAAGCGCACCGCACCGCCACGCGUGCC